AUGCUCACAUAGGCAGCACAUAUACUAAAACUGGAAUGAUACAGAGAGAUUAGCAUGGCCCCUCUGGAAGGAUGACACACAAAUUCAUGAACUAUUCCAUAAUUUU